UAUAGCUUUGCAAAAUUUAAAUACUUGUAAAAUAACAAACUGUGUAAAAACUGAAAUCAUAAUUAAAAUUAAAAUAAGAGCUAUAUGAGCGAGAGCUCUACAGAUGGUGUGUAAAAGAUAAGUCAUUUGUAUUGGACAAUGCAACAGGGUAGACUUCCACUUAUUUGUUUUUAUAAAGUUGGUCGUUUGGGUCAAAGGUUAGAGCUGUAGCUCCGGGCGAUCUUAUCGGGUCGAUUUUGGCUACAGAGUGCAGGAUUCAGGCGUUGUGAAUACAUGACACAACAGUUGGGAUCCUCCUUUGGGUUCAGGAAAAUUAAUAUUGACAAACUCACUCUGUAUUUUCAAUGGAAUUAUCAAUCUUGCCUCCCAGCAUUUGAACCCUUUUACUUAAUUUCAAUGUUAUUGUAAAUUUAAAACAGAGGGAUUUUGACAGAGGGAUUUUGUGCCGUUCAUAGAGAUUGGUUAAAAAAACUGUGCAUAUUAUGAUAUUAUUUGAGUUAAUACACUGUAACUAUUUUUGCUUGUUCAGUGUAAUGUGCUUAUAAAAAUGUGUUGUGCUAUGCUAUGUUUCUCACUGGCCUUUGCCUAGACACAAGCACUAUAAAAGUUGGGUUGAUUUUCUGUCAACUUCUUUGCAACUUCUUUGCUUCAUCAGGGGCCAUGCUUCUGAGGGACUUUUCAGAAUUUGAGUACCUAAAAAGGCAAAAGUGAACCUAAAAGUUCCAUAACAGUGUAGGUAAACUGAAACCAUAUCCAUGGUCGACAGCUGCUUGUAUGCUUUUCCCCUUUGGUUCAAAUGGCUCUUGAUAUCCUUUGACGUUUCUUUGGUUUUGUCACAGCCAAGAUUGUUAGCUAAGAUAAAUAAUACAAAUAAAAGGAGGCCCGUCGUUUGUUUUAAAGUCUUUGCUGCACUCGAAAAACUGUUUGCUCUUAUGGCACUUCGAUUACAUGAAAUAUUUAUGAUGUUUUAAUGCAGAUUUAUUUUGGAAAGUUAGUUCCACUGUUGAUCUAAACAAGAAGCCUCAAUUUACAUGUGGGCAUCGAUCUCAGGGAAAGACAUUGUAAAGAUGAGAGAAACUCUUGCAAUGAAACGCUAAGCACAGAGUACAUUACUGUUUUGAGAGGAUAAUUCUUAAGCCACUCAAUAAAGCUGUGAAUCAAAUCUUUAUUUUUUGGGGGGAAGGUGUGUACUCUGCAACCUCAUACUAACUUCUUUCGUUUCUCUGUUGCUUGACAAGGCUACCUCACCCUAAUGUUGGGGGGGUGAACAUUUUUUAUUUACAGUAGGUUCUUAGUUUACGUACAUCUCUACCUAUGACAUUUUGUCGUUACACAAUACCUGUAUGUUAAGAAAUACCUGUCUCGACGUGUGCAGUCUACAAUUGAAUUGUCACAGCAACAAUAUUUACUCUUCACGUGUAUUAAAGGUGAAGUAUAUCGUCUUCAAAAUGCUAUCAAGAUUUGAAUGUAGCUUCACUUCCCUACUCCCUCCCUCACCCAAGUGUUUGGCAGGAAGCCACACCCCUCAUCGGUGCGCACACGCAAGUCUCAUGGUUUGUUGACGACGUGCUGUGAUCAUCUUAUAGCAACAACGUUGACUAUUUCUUCAUGUCUCUUCACCGGAGAGACCUGACAGGCUGAGUUUAGAGUAAACAUAGUGUGAUAGACAUUUCUGUGACGUGACCCCUGCUCCAUGUUUUGACGUCCUCCAUGAGACAUCGAGGGAAGGUCUUCUGACUCUUCAGCCCAUGAUCAAUGCAUUGGUGUCUGCCAUAACUGCACUUAUGGACGCCUUGAUCUUGGACGAGGGAGGUUUAUGCCUAGCCAAAGAAAUGUGGAUUGACAUGCGGAGAGCUGAGAACCUUUGUGACCUUGGUGCGAACAACAGACAAUUCUGCCAAUGCUGUCUAUUGCCAAUAUGUAAUGCGGAAAAUCCCCAAGCAUGUUAUACAGGAUGCUGACAAAGUGGACAACGAGGAACCACAGUUCAUAUUUUCAAAGCAUUGCUCCAGUAGAAAUGUGCAUGUUAUAUUACUUUAUAAAUAUUUGUAGAUCCAUUUGCACCUUUUUUUUUUUUAUUUAACUCCAGGAGUGUCUGCGCAUUUACCUCUACCAUUUUGAAAUAGUACAAUUGUUAUGAUUAAAGAACUGAAAAUGAAUGGUUCCUCCUUCACAAUUGCCACUCAGAAAUCAAUGUUACAUUUCGUGACUCCUUCCAGUUCGUAAACAUCAGUGCCAUAUAUAAUGCAUGUUCAUUGAUUGUAUAUUUAAAAGAAAAAUAAAACAAAUUAAAAGUA